AUUGAACGCUGGCGGCAGGCUUAACACAUGCAAGUCGAGCGGGGUGAUGGUGCUUGCACUAUCACUUAGCGGCGGACGGGUGAGUAAUGCUUAGGAAUCUGCCUAUUAGUGGGGGACAACAUCUCGAAAGGGAUGCUAAUACCGCAUACGUCCUACGGGAGAAAGCAGGGGAUCACCUGUGACCUUGCGCUAAUAGAUGAGCCUAAGUCGGAUUAGCUAGUUGGUGGGGUAAAGGCCUACCAAGGCGACGAUCCGUAGCGGGUCUGAGAGGAUGGUCCGCCACACUGGGACUGAGACACGGCCCAGACUCCUACGGGAGGCAGCAGUGGGGAAUAUUGGACAAUGGGGGGAACCCUGAUCCAGCCAUGCCGCGUGUGUGAAGAAGGCCUUAUGGUUGUAAAGCACUUUAAGCGAGGAGGAGGCUCUUUUGGUUAAUACCCAAGAUGAGUGGACGUUACUCGCAGAAUAAGCACCGGCUAACUCUGUGCCAGCCGCCGCAGUAA
rnacentral:rRNA from 1 species